UGGGGAAUUGUUCACAAUGGGCGCAAGCCUGAUGACGCAACGCCGCGUGGAGGGUGAAGAUCUUCGGGUCGUAAACUCCUUUCGAUCGAGACGAAUGGCUCCCGUGCUAAUCAACGGGAGAAUGACGGUACCGAGAGAAGAAGCACCGGCUAACUACGUGCCAGCAGCCGCGGUAAUACGUAGGGUGCGAGCGUUGUCCGGAAUUAUUGGGCGUAAAGAGCUCGUAGGCGGUUUGUCGCGUCUGCUGUGAAAUCCCGAGGCUCAACCUCGGGCCUGCAGUGGGUACGGGCAGACUGGAGUGCGGUAGGGGAGAAUGGAACUCCUGGUGUAGCGGUGGAAUGCGCAGAUAUCAGGAAGAACACCGAUGGCGAAGGCAGUUCUCUGGGCCGUAACUGACGCUGAGGAGCGAAAGCGUGGGGAGCGAAC
rnacentral:rRNA from 1 species